ensembl:lncRNA
CCUAACCAUAACCCUACUUCAGUACCCAUAACCCUACUUCAGUACCCCUAACCGUAACCCUACUUCAGUACCCCUAACCCGAUAGCUUUACCAAGUCGUUGCAUAUCAACAGAGUUGCAGUUAAUAUUUUCUUGAAAGUUUGAGCAUAUAAUGACGUCCAUGAGACUAAAAACAUCAGUGGCGUUUUAGGUAACAGGCAAUAUUGAAGAGUUUCGGUAAAGGAUCAGGCUCUUCUUUUCAAACCUACGAAAUGGUCAUCAUAUAGCUCGCUACACUCAACUAUUCAACUACAACAUCACAACAAAACACUCAGCGAUACAAACACAUCACCCACUACCAGCGAAAUUACAUCUUCUUCCAUUUAAAAAUCCAUUAAAAGUACUGAGUUCUGAAGUAGGGGGCUUUGUAUGAAUGAGAUUAAAGGCAUGAUUCAUUUGAGAACGUAGCUCAAUGUUUUGGGAAGAUGGGCCCUGACUUGGAUGUGAUAUAGACCAUCUUACGGUUCUCAGAAGGAGGGCGAGAAGAAAGGAGAGUGAUUGAGAGAGGUUGGAAGGUACAAGAGAGCACUUGAGGAGAUGGCUUCCUGCUAAUUGUGGGUUUACCUGGCAUUUGUAGAAAUGCACUCUACACCCUCCAACUCUCCAUCUCUCCAUCCCUCUCUCUAGCCAGCCCCAAUCAUUAGGAACUUGCUCCUUCACUCUCCAAAUGGAGGGGUAAUUGUUCACUGUCGAAACCUAGCUUUUGUUUAUUGGUCCUCUGCCAGCAAAGCAGAGAGGGUGAAGCUUGGUUUGCCAUCUACGGGUGAUUCAGUCACAUUGCGUAAAUUGGUGCAUUCAAUAUGCAUAAGAAGGACUGGAGUCUUGAGUUACCUGGCUUUAAAAUGUGUCUCAUCUGGUGAAUUUCCCUCUUUAAGGUCCUUUAAUCAAAUUAGAUCACUCAGGAAGAGAUGGGUGGAUGGAUAGAGUUAUAGAGAGAGAGAGGAUUACUUUGAUGAAAAGAUGUGAGAGGGAUGAGGCCUCGUGUCAAUGUUGAGUGUGUGUUUCUGUGUGACAGAUCAGAGGCCUCACCUCCGUUUGACAUCAACAUAAAUAGCCUCAUUAAUAGACAUGAUAAACUAACAUAAAUAUAAUGUACAGUACGUGUUUCUUCUCUGUUAGAAGAGGACUUUACUGCUUUAGUAUUCUGAGGUCAAUGUAAAAUAAAUAUGUUUUAUUGUCACAUACACCAGAUAGGUGCAGUGAAAUCUGUUGUUUUACAGGGUCAGCCAUAGUAGCACGGUGCCCCUGGAGCAAAUUAGGGUUAAGUGCCUUGCUCAAUGGCACAUCAACAGAUUUUACACCUUGACGGCUCUGGCAUUCGAACCAGCAACCUUUCAGCAACAAAUAUGUGCGGGAGAGAAAGAUAAAAGGCCUCACCUCUAUUUAACAUCAACUCAAACAGAUACGGGUUCAUAGAAAGUGAAUAGAAAGCCUAAAGGGACAUUGUUGUUAUGUAAAUGUAGAUCUGUGUAUGUUCCAUUAGAUACUUAAACUAAAGGGCCGGUUUCCUGGAUCCAGAUUGAACCAACUCCUGGACUAAAAAGCACUUUGAUAGUAGAUUCUCAUGAGCGUGCUUCAGAAAGAUAGAAGAUGAACUAUCAGUGGUCAUGUACUUUAUAGGGGCAAAUUCAUCAUCACAUCCUUAAGUGUGAACCACAGUCUGGUUUCUCAUGUGUUCACUGGACUGUUACAUCACUGUUUCCAGGUCAGUCAUUAAAAACAAACCAAGUGCAAAUCAUUUACCUUUCUGUGGCAUAGCGAAGCACGUCUUGUUCUCCAAAUACCUCCAGAUCUAAUUAUUUGACAUAUAAAUUAGAAUGCAACUGUCUUCAUAAGUGCAAAUGGACUAAGCAUGUCAUUUAUUUCAUAAGACUAUUUAAGUAGAACUUGGUUCAUUAUCAUUCAGAUUUCUAUAGACACACACACACACACACACACACACACACACACAAAAGUGCGUAUCAUUAUACACCACGUAACAACUUCUGCAUCUCAAUAGCAGUGAGCGGUGCAAUUUAAAGUAUAGUGAUUUUACACACAUGACUUCCUAUCUUAACCAAGGUCUUUCUGAGCUCCUAUCUGAAGGUUAAGUCUGACUGACUCCUUCGGCAGCUUACUCACACUGUGUGUGUAUGUGUGCACAAAAGCUUGCGUGUGUGUGUGUAUGUGCGUGCUCUAACGUGUGUGUGUCUAUGUUAUGUGCUAUGUGCUACCCUCAUAGCUAGGCAGUAAAAGAUAUUAAGGAACAAUUGGUAAAAGUGACAGGUUUAAUAGAGAAAGAUUACUCCUCGCUACAUCAAUUUGAAUUGAAUUGAAUACAUUUUCCACCACAGGUCGAACGGUGUUCUUGGAUGGAAGAGCUGUCUGGAUGUUUUUGUCUUUGUGAGUAGAGAGAGGGAGAGAAAGAGAGAAGGGAGAGAGAGAGAGAAGGGAGAGGGAGAGAGAGAGGGAGAGAAAGAGAGAAGGGAGAGAGAGAGAGAGAGGGAAGAGAGAGAGGGAGUGGGAAAGAGGGACAGUGUGUCAUCGAGUCUCCAGCCUGUUUGUAUGAUUCCUUCUUCAUAUAGGUAAUACCACCAAGGGAGUUAAGGUGCCAGAGGGAGAGGAAAACACAGACAUACAUCAAUCUUUUGUUGUUUUUUUCUUUUCAUAAACAGUAGUGGUUCUAAAUGCAUUCUGGAAUGACAAAAUUAUUAUUCCACCUUCCGCUGGGUUAGAAGAGAAAGACAGAGAGAGAGGAAAUCUCUUCCCUAAUCUAGAGUUGGCUACACACACCAUUCAGUUUAAACUGUAGCUAUAUUACUUCCAAAAAGAGGGGUGGGGGAGAGAAAGAGAGGGGUGGGGGAGAGAAAGAGAGGGAGGGGGAGAGAAAGAGAGGGGAGGGGAGAGAAAGAGAGGGGAGGGGAGAGAAAGAGAGGGGUGGGGGAGAGAAAGAGAGGGGUGGGGGAGAGAAAGAGAGGGGUGGGGGAGAGAAAGAGAGGGGUGGGGGAGAGAAAGAGAGGGAGGGGGAGAGAAAGAGAGGGAGGGAGGGGGAGGGAAAGAGAGGGAGGGAGGGGGAGGGAAAGAGAGGGAGGGGGAGGGAAAGAGAGGGGAGGGGAGAGAAAGAGAGGGGAGGGGAGUGCAUGCUUUUUCUUUCUCCCUCCUCUCCAUUCCCUGAACCAUGAAUCCAAAGUGUGUGUAACAUUAUCAUAAAUAACAACCAAAUAUGAGUUCAAAGUUAAAGGGUUACUAAGGAAGGUAAACUAAAAACGUUGAUUCUUUCUAACAUGGUCAGAUAGUGUUGACUGAGGGUUUCUAGCUUAUUCAUAAUUACCAUUAUGAGGACAGGCUUCACUGUCAAUGUGGAAUACUAGAGUACUACUGCCAUCAGGUGGCAGAGUUCUGUAUGGCAAACUUCCCCUUCUGGGCAGAGGAACUGUCUUGAUCUGGAAGGAUUGGUUGGUUAUACACUGAGUAUACCAAACAUUAAGAAACACCUUCCUAGUAUUGAAUUGCACCCCCCUUUACCCUCAGAAAUGCCUAGAUUCGUGGAUGUCCUUUGGGUGGUGGACCAUUCUUGAUACACAGGAUACUGUUGAGUGUGAAAAACCCAGCAGCAUUGCAGUUCUUGACACAAACUGGUGUGCCUAGCAUACCCUGUUCAAACACAAUUAAAUAUUUUGUCUUGCCUAUUCAUCCUCUGAAUGGCACACAUACACAAUCCAUGUUUCAGUUGUCUCAAGGCUUAAAAAUCAUUCUUUAACCUGUCUCCUCCCCUUCAUCUACACUGAUUAACGUGGAUUUAACAAGUGAUAUCAAUCAGGUAUCAUAGCUUUCAUCUGGAUCACCUGGUCGGUCUAUGUCAUGGAAAGAGCAGCAUAUAUAAAGUAUAGAAAAGAAUUGAAUAUGUACAAUAUAAAAUAUCCACAGGGGAUAUUGGGGAGGGCUCGAUUGAAGAUUGGCCACUUUUUAAUUGAAUGUAAUUUUCUGCCAUUGUCAUCGUCCUCACCAAAUCCACACCAAGAUAGGCAUGGAAAAAAAUGUAAGAUGAUUAUUUUACUCCAUCUUUCCUUCUCUCCUUACAUCCUUUCACCCCCCUUUCCUCCCUCCUUCCUGUGCAGGUAGAUGUGACUGCUGGGUCGUAAUACAGAGCUGUCAGUGUGAGACGAGCGGUGUGUGUGUGUGCGUGCGUGCGUGGGUGUGGGUGUCUGAGAUGAGAUAUGUGACCAGCAUGCUAACACGCAGGUUUGUCUACUAGGGCCAGGAGCCAGGAUCACAUACACACACACACAGUGUCGUCAUGCCCAUAGAGGCACAAUGGCACGUGCCCUGUCAGAUUUGUCCUGUUUUUUUGUGUGUUUUUUUUUUCAGAUGUUAAAUUAAUAACUCACGUUUUAUCAUAAUUAAGAGGGGGCACCCUGACUGGAGAGAGAGAGAGUAGAGUGACACACACAGCAUUUGAUUUGAUUUUAGCUUCUGGUAAUGGGCUCAUGAAUGUGAUCAAGCUCUGUAGCCAUUUGAUUACUUCUUGAUGAAUAAAUAAAACUAAAAUGUUUUGUUGUUUCUCUGUAAUACUAGCCACUAAGCAAUUUUAUAAAGUUGUCUUUAGCUAACCAGCUAGAAAGGUUCCCAAUCUUCUAACCUCAUAAGCAGCUAACAAGUCAUUUUAGGCUAUCAAUCAAGUUAGAGUAGCUUGUCCAACUAUCUUAGCUAUUAUAAACUGGGUGGUUCGAGCCCUGAAUGCUGAUUGGCUGAAAGCCACCAUGGGUAUGACCCAAAAAUAUUUUUACUGCUCUGAUUACAUUAGUAACCCGUUUAUAAUAGCAAUAAGGCACCUCAGGGUUUUGUGGUAUAUGGCCAAUAUACCACGGCUAAGGACUGUAUCCAGGCACUCUGCGUUGCGUCUUGCGUAAGAACAGCCAUUAGCCAUGGUAUAUUGGCCAUAUACCACACUCCCUCAGGCCUUAUUGCUUAAAUAUAACCUAUGCAGAAAAAUAAACAUAGAUUUAAAAAAAAUAGAAUUAGGCAUAAUGAUUAUGGCUCUAGAAGUUGUUUAGGGUGUUUCAGGCAAAAUUAUCCAACUUCCAGAUUCCAGAAAGCCAUCCCUCCGGACCAACCCCAUCUCCGGAACAGCCAUCCCUCCGGACCAACCCGAUCUCCGGAACAGCCAUCCCUCCGGACCAACCCCAUCUCCGGAACAGCCAUCCCUCCGGACCAACCCCCUCUCCGGAACAGCCAUCCCUCCGGACCAACCCCUCUCCGGAACAGCCAUCCCUCCUGACCAACCCGAUCUCCGGACCAACCCCUCUCCGGAACAGCCAUCCCUCCGGACCAACCCCAUCUCCAGAACAGCCAUCCCUACGGACCAACCCGAUCUCCGGAACAGCCAUCCCUCCGGACCAACCCCCUCUCCGGAACAGCCAUCCCUCCGGACCAACCCCCUCUCCGGAACAGCCAUCCCUCCGGACCAACCCCAUCUCCGGAACAGCCAUCCCUCCGGACCAACCCC